GGGGGAAAGCCUGAUCCAGCCAUGCCGCGUGUGUGAAGAAGGUCUUCGGAUUGUAAAGCACUUUAAGUUGGGAGGAAGGGCAGUAACCGAAUACCCCCGGGGUUUGAAGUUACCAA
rnacentral:rRNA from 1 species